rnacentral:rRNA from 1 species
CCAAUAGCGUAUAUUAAAGUUGUUGCAGCUAAAAAGCUCGUAGUUGAAUUUCGGGAUCAGUACGCUGGUCAUGCCUUUGGUAUGCACUGGUGUCACUGGUUUCUCCCUUCUGAAGAACCGUGAUGUCAUUAAUUUGGUGUCGCGGGGAAUCAGGACUGUUACUUUGAAAAAAUUAGAGUGUUUAAAGCAGGCUCACGCUUGAAUACAUUAGCAUGGAAUAAUGAAAUAGGACGUUUGACCCUAUUUUGUUGGUUUCUAGGAUCGACGUAAUGAUUAAUAGGGAUAGUUGGGGGCAUUAGUAUUCAAUUGUCAGAGGUGAAAUUCUUGGAUUUAUUGAAGACUAACUACUGCGAAAGCAUUUGCCAAGGAUGUUUUCAUUAAUCAAGAACGAAAGUUAGGGGAUCGAAGACGAUCAGAUACCGUCGUAGUCUUAACCAUAAACUAUGCCGACUAGGGAUCGGAUGAUGUUAAUUUUAUAAUGACUCAUUCGGCGCCUUACG